UACGAAGGGUGCAAGCGUUAAUCGGAAUUACUGGGCGUAAAGCGUGCGUAGGCGGUCUUUUAAGUCUGCUGUGAAAUCCCCGGGCUCAACCUGGGAAUGGCAGUGGAUACUGGGAGGCUAGAGUGUGUCAGAGGAUGGUGGAAUUCCCGGUGUAGCGGUGAAAUGCGUAGAGAUCGGGAGGAACAUCAGUGGCGAAGGCGGCCAUCUGGGACAACACUGACGCUCAUGCACGAAAGCGUGGGGAGCAAACAGG
rnacentral:rRNA from 1 species